UCACACAUUUCCUUUGAAGACAUCUGUAGCUAAACAAUUGAGAUAUAUAGAGGAAACCAAUAAACACCCAAAAUAGAACCCGUAAAAUCUGAUCGGAAAGGUAACCUCAACUACUCAAAUCCCUGAACUCGGAUGUAGGGUUUUUUGCACAAGAUGGAUCUAAUCUCUAUAUAUAUCGAUCACCUACAUCCUAUAGUUUUUAUAUUUCCAUUGCGCAUCGCACAAUUCCGAUCCUUUUUUCCAGAGGAAGGGUCGAUUUGGAUUGAACAGAGCAUGGGUGCAAUAUUUAGCUGUACUGUUUUUAUUCUUUAUUUCUUACUCCAUUAUCGUUAUUAAUACCAUUAUUAUUAGUUUUGAAGGAUAUUAUAUGACUGUGAUCUUAAUCGAUUUUUCACUGGAUGUUUUUUUUAGUCAGUUGUAGAUACGUUAUUACUAUAAUAACAUGGUUAUGUUUAAUUAUGAACUGUUUAUUGUAUACAACCAAUUUGAACAUAUUAGUUUCAUUUUUUUAGUUUCAACAUUUAGGCCAAAAUCUGGAUGAUUUACUUGGCUGGUGUUUGUAUUCUAUGUCUACAUUUAUUGAUGUUUGGAUGUUUAGUCAGAAUUUAGUAUUUUGGUUACAAAAUGUGAGUUACUUGAUAUACGAGGAGUUCUUAUGUUUGGGUUUUUAUUAUAAUAGUUUUACGGGAUAUCAUGUGCAAAGAAUGUAGUUUGUUAGGUAUUUGAGUUUUGUUAGGUAUUUGAGUUGAAUGAGAAUCCAUAGAAGGCUCGAUUUACAGAUAUAGCAGCAGAGAAGACUCACGAGGAAACUAUCCAAGCCCGACUUGAUAUUCUAAUUGUAAAUGAUAUUUUAGGAAACGCAGCGGAAGAUGAAAGGAAUUUAGUACAACAACAAUCACCAAGCUAAGGCUCAAGAAAAUCUAGGAGUCAUAGAAAACACACUGGCUAAAAUGGAGAAGCUCCAUUCGUAUGUGGUUAUCAGCAGUGCCAUGAUCUUUGGCAAUUAUGCCUUUCCUAUCACUGUUAUUGCUCCGGUAAGGACUUAAGUAUAGCUCUGAAAGAUAGAGCCCGACAUUCAUUUUUGAAUGAAUAUUCAUAGCUGAGUCUACUAAAAGAGGGACCAGCUCAUCGUAGUGAUUAGAGCAUAGUCACCUGUCAUUUCUUUUGUACUUAUAUUUGCAAAAUGAAUUACCUGGCAGGGGUAGAACAUUUGUGUCGAAAGUAACUUUUUGAAUCAAAGUGCAGAUGGGUGGUAUUUUUUACAGCUUUCAAUUAGGAAGAUCAUUAAUUAAAAAUGGGUACUCAUGAUGCAAAAUUUCUUUUGUUGAUCCAGGUCCGUAGAUAGGCUUGCAUGUAGGCAAAGCCAACUACGAUAUUGGUGGAUUAUGCAAUCACUUUCUGGUGGCUAAGAUAGGAUAAUGUUUCACAAUUUGUCUCUCAUACCGGAGUAUAUGUUUAUAAGUAAAAUACUAUUAUGAAAACAAUCAGCUGUUUAAGCUUGGCGUUUUCCAUGUUGAUGCUUUAAAAGGGUACAACACCUUAUUUUAGCUGUAAUACAUUUCAUGUUUCAAUUUGAUAUUACAUUUGUUUC